GAUGAACGCUGGCGGCGUGCCUAAUACAUGCAAGUCGAGCGAACGGACGAGAAGCUUGCUUCUCUGAUGUUAGCGGCGGACGGGUGAGUAACACGUGGAUAACCUACCUAUAAGACUGGGAUAACUUCGGGAAACCGGAGCUAAUACCGGAUAAUAUUUUGAACCGCAUGGUUCAAAAGUGAAAGACGGUCUUGCUGUCACUUAUAGAUGGAUCCGCGCUGCAUUAGCUAGUUGGUAAGGUAACGGCUUACCAAGGCAACGAUGCAUAGCCGACCUGAGAGGGUGAUCGGCCACACUGGAACUGAGACACGGUCCAGACUCCUACGGGAGGCAGCAGUAGGGAAUCUUCCGCAAUGGGCGAAAGCCUGACGGAGCAACGCCGCGUGAGUGAUGAAGGUCUUCGGAUCGUAAAACUCUGUUAUUAGGGAAGAACAUAUGUGUAAGUAACUGUGCACAUCUUGACGGUACCUAAUCAGAGAGCCACGGCUAACUACGUGCCAGCAGCCGCGGUAAUACGUAGGUGGCAAGCGUUAUCCGGAAUUAUUGGGCGUAAAGCGCGCGUAGGCGGUUUUUUAAGUCUGAUGUGAAAGCCCACGGCUCAACCGUGGAGGGUCAUUGGAAACUGGAAAACUUGAGUGCAGAAGAGGAAAGUGGAAUUCCAUGUGUAGCGGUGAAAUGCGCAGAGAUAUGGAGGAACACCAGUGGCGAAGGCGACUUUCUGGUCUGUAACUGACGCUGAUGUGCGAAAGCGUGGGGAUCAAACAGGAUUAGAUACCCUGGUAGUCCACGCCGUAAACGAUGAGUGCUAAGUGUUAGGGGGUUUCCGCCCCUUAGUGCUGCAGCUAACGCAUUAAGCACUCCGCCUGGGGAGUACGACCGCAAGGUUGAAACUCAAAGGAAUUGACGGGGACCCGCACAAGCGGUGGAGCAUGUGGUUUAAUUCGAAGCAACGCGAAGAACCUUACCAAAUCUUGACAUCCUUUGACAACUCUAGAGAUAGAGCCUUCCCCUUCGGGGGACAAAGUGACAGGUGGUGCAUGGUUGUCGUCAGCUCGUGUCGUGAGAUGUUGGGUUAAGUCCCGCAACGAGCGCAACCCUUAAGCUUAGUUGCCAUCAUUAAGUUGGGCACUCUAAGUUGACUGCCGGUGACAAACCGGAGGAAGGUGGGGAUGACGUCAAAUCAUCAUGCCCCUUAUGAUUUGGGCUACACACGUGCUACAAUGGACAAUACAAAGGGCAGCGAAACCGCGAGGUCAAGCAAAUCCCAUAAAGUUGUUCUCAGUUCGGAUUGUAGUCUGCAACUCGACUACAUGAAGCUGGAAUCGCUAGUAAUCGUAGAUCAGCAUGCUACGGUGAAUACGUUCCCGGGUCU
rnacentral:rRNA from 1 species